GUUGUACUCCCUUCGUUCAAAAAUACUUGUUAUCAAGAUGAAUAAAAGAUAAUGCAUCUAGACAUAUUUUAGUUUUAGAUGCAUCACUUUUUAUCCAUUUUGAUGACAAGUAUUUUCGGACGAAGGGAGUACGUA
rfam:Triticum urartu cultivar G1812 contig777808, whole genome shotgun sequence.